rnacentral:rRNA from 1 species
UACGGAGGGGGCGAGCGUUAUUCGGAAUUAUUGGGCGUAAAGGGCGCGUAGGCGGCUUGACAAGUCAAAGGUGAAAUCCCUCGGCUCAACUGAGGAACUGCCUUUGAAACUGUCUGGCUUGAGGCCGGGAGGGGGUAGCGGAAUUCCCAGUGUAGCGGUGAAAUGCGUAGAUAUUGGGAGGAACACCAGUGGCGAAGGCGGUCUGCUGGGCAGUAGCUGACACUGAGGCGCGACAGCGUGGGGAGCAAACAGG